UCAUGCUAAAAACUAUAACAAGUGAAAUUAUUUUACCCUGUAAAAAGUAACAUAACCCGGCCCUAUAAUUAUUAUUUAUUUAUUUCCGUAAAGAAAAAAAAAUCGCCCAAUAUUUGAUUUGAAUAAUCCCAAUUUCAUUUCAUUCAAUCGAAAACAAAAAAAAACCCUUGUAAAACCCUAGACCACACAAACCAACAAGAUCCCUCUCCUUGAGUAACAGAAAA
rnacentral:lncRNA from 1 species